AAGAGAAUUAAAAAUGACUACUGGGAUUAAAAUGGCAACAUUUGUUAAAAAGAAUAAAUUGAAUAAUAGAUCCAAGCACUUUACAUUUGAAAGAAAAACAAAGAACGUAGUUUAAAACUG
rnacentral:sRNA from 1 species